GUGGGGGAUAUUGCACAAUGGGGGAAACCCUGAUGCAGCGACGCCGCGUGGAGGAAGAAGGUUUUCGGAUUGUAAACUCCUGUCGUUAGGGACGAUAAUGACGGUACCUAACAAGAAAGCACCGGCUAACUACGUGCCAGCAGCCGCGGUAAAACGUAGGGUGCAAGCGUUGUCCGGAAUUACUGGGUGUAAAGGGAGCGCAGGCGGGAAGACAAGUUGGAAGUGAAAACCAUGGGCUCAACCCAUGAAUUGCUUUCAAAACUGUUUUUCUUGAGUAGUGCAGAGGUAGAUGGAAUUCCCGGUGUAGCGGUGGAAUGCGUAGAUAUCGGGAGGAACACCAGUGGCGAAGGCGGUCUACUGGGCACCAACUGACGCUGAGGCUCGAAAGCAUGGGUAGCAAACAGGAUUAGAAACCCUAGUAGUCCU
rnacentral:rRNA from 1 species